rnacentral:rRNA from 1 species
GACGAACGCUGGCGGCGUGCUUAACACAUGCAAGUCGAACGAAGUGGCGAACGGGUGAGUAAUACGUGGGUAACCUGCCCUCCUUUUUGGGAUAAGUCUUGGAAACGGGGUCUAAUACCGAAUAAAGGGGGAUGGGUUGGCGGCCUAUCAGGUUGUUGGUGGGGGAAUUGCCUACCAAGGCGGUGACGGGUAGCCGGCCUGAGAGGGUGACCGGGAACAUUGGGACUGAGAGACGGCCCAGAGUCCUACGGGAGGCAGCAGUGGGGGAAAUUGCACAAUGGGCGAAAGCCUGAUGCAGCGACGCCGCGUGGGGGAUGAAGGCUUUCGGGUUGUAAACCUCUUUCGCUAUAGAACGGGUAGGUGGAGAAAAGGCGCCGGCUAACUACGUGCCAGCAGCCGCGGUAAUAC